UGAGCCACCAUGCCCGGCCAAUUUUACUGUUGAAAUGAAUGCUGCUCUGCUUUCAUUUCAGAAAGCAGUUGAGGGGCAUGGAGGAGGAGACAACCAUAUGACUGGGAAUUCUCACAAUUAGCUUCCAUGUGGAGCACAAUGUUUAUUACAGGACACAUCCCUGACUGACUGUACCCUGGGCAGAAGCCUCACUGCCUGACCUUGGUCAGCUGCCACCAUCUUCGCAGAGGAAAGAGCAUGUGCAAAGGGCCUGAGGUGGGAGUAUGGAGAGCAAGGAAGGCUGGUGUCUGGGAUACAACAAGAAAGGGGAAAGGAAGAGCUCAGGAGAAGGAGGGCAUCCUAUAAGGCCUUGCGGACCACUCAGGAUUUUGGCUUUCACUCUAGGUGAUAUGCAGGUCUAGCUAAUUCCGAUUCUCAGAGUCUGAUGAAUAAUUGUCCAAUAACGAUAAUAUGAUUGGCAUGCUCCUCGGUGUCUCUGAGGAGCUGGAGAGCCAGAGGACUCGCCCCUGGGAGAUAAGGGUAUCACCGAUAUAAGGGAGGCAUUUGCCAGAUGAGACAGUGAGAAAAUGGCUCCUCCAAGACCCAGGCUCUCUGAAGCGCUAUCUGGAAAAUCCUCAGCACUACAAGGUGCCCUCCCAGGAAGGAUUUUUAGAGGGAAGUGGUCACUUUGUAAAUAGCUGGGAAGAUUUAUCUGCAGAGGAAAACGUAACCAGGUUAAUUUCUUCCCAUCUCCCCCAACGAUGCCCCUCUUCUGGAAAUGAGGGUAGGCUUUGAAAUGGGAGAAAGGAAGCUUCUCCCAAACUCAAGGCUGCAAAUGCCAUCCAGCCCAGCAUCAGAAAACCUCUGGGGGCUGUCACAGGCUGUCACAGGGAGACAGGCAGGGCAAGCCAUAUCCUAGGCUGUUGGAAGUAGAUGCUCGGUGCCGCAAAGAAAACUUAGCACUGAGACAAGGGAUCCUUCAGCAACACAGUUUUUACUCCUGGACUGCAGGAAGGGUACUCUCGCCAGCCGUCUUGCCAUGAGAGUACAAAGAACAAAGGAAAUACACACAAAUUUAUUCCUUAUGCAUUUGGGGUCGUCCUUACUGCUGUGUCUGAUCUCUGUUGGCUGAAGCCAGACCUCACAGUCUAAACUAACACCUGAUUGACUAAUAACUUAAAACUUUUCUAAACAGGUAAAAGCAAUGGAGACCUGGGACAUGCCUGUGAGCACGUCCAGCACAGAUAUCUUGGUAAAGUACAAGGACAUAGAAUGUACUAUGUGCCUGUAAGCAUGGCAUGUCUAACAGCUACACAGAAUAGGGCUUAACAAAGAGUUCUUAGCACACUUACGAUUUAACAGGAAAGGAAACUUUAAAAAGGAACUUUUCUGCUUCCCACAUAGGCCCCACUACUGCUGCAUUCUCCCUUCCCAGAGCCACUGACAGUGGCAGAGAUGAAGAGGACAGAGUCCCAGCUUCCCAAGGGCACUCCAGCUGCACCAGAAAAGCUCCCCCACUCCAACCCUACCCCGCUGCACUGCUGGACUUCUGACCACACCAUAGGGCCCCAGCAGCAAAAGCAGCCAGAGAAAAACAGAGUGCUUCUGGAACUUCUCCAAGCUUUCCGGGGUUCUGUCCUGCAAAAGCCUCACCCAACUGUCUGGAGCACCUGAGUUGCAGACAGCGCAGGGAGCCUCCAGAUGAAUGAAGAGAACUUUGGGAGCUGAGGAGAAGACAGAGCCACAAGAUCAAAGGAGACUGGAUCCCUGAAUGACUGCAAAGUCCCCUUCAACAGACAUUGGCCUGCGACAUGAGUAAGACAAGAUCUAAGGUGUUAAAAUUCAUGCUGUGUGAGGUCGGUUUGUUACAGCAGGUUUAAAUGCAAUGGAGCAAUUCCGGCUUAUACUCCUGUGCACCCCGACUCAUUUCUAUAUGGUCUGCUGCAGCAAGACGUCAGCAGCUGUCUUCAUCUGAGUCCAUUUCCCAGGGUGGUGUUGCCCAGAAGA